UACGGGGGGGGCAAGCGUUGUUCGGAAUUAUUGGGCGUAAAGGGCGCGUAGGCGGCUUUGUAAGUCAAAGGUGAAAUCCCUCGGCUCAACUGAGGAACUGCCUUUGAAACUGUAAAGCUUGAGGCCGGGAGGGGGUAGCGGAAUUCCCAGUGUAGCGGUGAAAUGCGUAGAUAUUGGGAGGAACACCAGUGGCGAAGGCGGCUACCUGGACCGGUUCUGACGCUGAGGCGCGAAAGCGUGGGUAGCAAACAGG
rnacentral:rRNA from 1 species